UCUCCACUCCCUCCUUCACCCGGAACACGCGUGCUAGCUUGUCUGGAUUGGGCGUGCUAGCUUGCCUGAUGGAUCUUCCCUGUUAGAUUUAUUUUUUUCUUCGAUUUAAUGUUGAUUUUUUAUUUGGAGUUUGCAAUUGGCAAAAUGGAUCAGCAGAACAGAGGAGGAGCAUUUGCAGAUAGCAAGCUGCGAUGAGGAAGGGCAACAGAAAGCAGCCCAAUCACAUCAACAGCCACCACCAUGUCUACUGUGAUCACCUGCAUGGUCAGCGCAGUCAGACUCAUCUGCCAUGCAGGAACUGAGCACCAUCGUUCGUGCUGGGGAGAAACAAACCAUCAUAAAAACAGCUAUAAGUAAGUUCUGUGUUACUAUCCAGUUGCAAUUCAAUUUCCAUCGAACAAUAUACAACUUUGGAAUUGUCUUGGUAAACUAGGAGCCUGUCUGGAUUUUGUAGAAUGGAUGGCGUGGCAAAACAGGCAUCGAGAGGUAUGUUGGCGCCCACACACUGAUCGAGUAUGCUUGCCGGUGUGGCAGCUCAUAGGUGAGCAUGACCUGCGUUCCUGAUGUCCGCAGGUUUACACUUCCUUUGCAAAGUUGUCUCCAUGCAAAUGUAUUGUCCAGGUUCAGAUGCUUCUCUAAUUUAGAGAACUUUCAGAUGCUUUAUUGCAAGCAUUUGUUUCUUGAUGUUUGUAAAUAUUCGUAACUGGCUGUUUCUUUUCUCCAGUUUGUUUUAACUUUGAGUCAGUGCCAGAUAGAAAUCAUAUUACUUGGUGCGCACACACUGCAAUGGUCAUGGUCUCUACUCGCAGCAGCUUCGGAUCGCUUCCUAAUGAGCAAUCAGGUGAGUAAGGUGACAAAUAUCAAACUAAUGAUGUCAUGCAACACCGUUUACAUACAAUUUAGAGUUGUGGACCCGUGAUGAGUAACUAUGAAAAGAUGUGUACACUCUUUGGAUCUUUUUUAGAACAAAGGCAGUUCUAAUGCACCUGUUUUUGCUAAGAACAUGUACUCUCAUUGGAUGUUUGAUGACUCCCUUUUUUUGUUGUAGCUAUUAAGAAUUGAUUGAAACAUGGUUGCCUAUGUAAAAAAUGCCAUGUGACUUUUUGCUUGACUGCAAGAUGUGGUUAAUGUAAGAUGGAUAAUUCCUGAAAUAUGAAGGAUUGGUCGAGACAUAGUAGGCCUAAAACUUUUAUCUUGCCGAAACUUGUACAUAUAUCUACUUCUUGAACUUUUAUUUGCUUCUUGGAGAUGAUAUUGGCUCUGAACGUAUGAUCAAUAGAGUCAUGUUGAAGGAAAGUUAAUCAGUAGCAAGUUCUACAAAAAAAAAGGCUAUCAUUCACGCAUAUUUAUCUAUUAUGACAUUUUGAUGUGUACUGUGAGCUACUCUUGACACGGCUUGUGGUGCCUGCUGUAACUACUGCUCCGUGGAACCCUGACGCAAACGUCCCUUUGGCCUGCUCACUAACUCCAGUGGUAAGGGAUUCAGACCAGAAACGAGGGAGUUCUGAUUUACAUGAUGUAUUGCAGGGGUUUAUUCUUUAUAGGAAACUUCAAUCUUCCUGCUCAUUCUACUAAUAUGUAUUGUUGUCAUGUAUUUGAGUUUUCCAUUGCAAUAAGGUUUUAAGGUGUUCA